rnacentral:rRNA from 1 species
AUUCCAGCUCCAAUAGCGUAUAUUAAAAUUGCUGCAGUUAAAAAGCUCGUAGUUGGAUCUUGGGCGCAGGCUGGCGGUCCGCCGCAAGGCGCGCCACUGCCCGCCUGGCCUUCCUCUCGGUCUCCGCCCGGUUCUCUUAACUGAGUGCCGGGCGCGGCCGAAACGUUUACUUUGAAAAAAUUGGAGUGUUCAAAGCAGGCCGCGCGCCUGGACAGCAGAGCAUGGAAUAAUGGAAUAGGACCUCGGUUCUAUUGCGUUGGUUUUCGGAACUCGAGGUAAUGAUUAAGAGGGACUGACGGGGGCAUUCGUAUUGCGGUGUGAGAGGUGAAAUUCUUGGAUCGCCGCAAGACGACCGACUGCGAAAGCAUUUGCCAAGAAUGUUUUCAUCA